CAGUCGCCACGGUAAUACGUAGGGUGCGAGCGUUAAUCGGAAUUACUGGGCGUAAAGCGGGCGCAGACGGUUACUUAAGCAGGAUGUGAAAUCCCCAGGCUCAACCUGGGAACUGCGUUCUGAACUGGGUGACUAGAGUGUGUCAGAGGGAGGUAGAGUUCCACGUGUAGCAGUGAAAUGCGUAGAGAUGUGGAGGAAUACCGAUGGCGAAGGCAGCCUCCUGGGAUAACACUGACGUUCAUGCCCGAAAGCGUGGGUAGCAAACAGGAUUAGAGACCCCUGUAGUCCCUGUCUCUUAUAC
rnacentral:rRNA from 1 species